rnacentral:tRNA from 1 species
GCCCUUAUAGCUCAGUGGUAGAGCGCAUCACUAGUAGAAUUGAACCUGUUCGCACCAUGAUGAGGUCCUCUGUUCGAUCCAGGGUGAGGGCA